AGAGUUUGAUCAUGGCUCAGAACGAACGCUGGCGGCAGGCUUAACACAUGCAAGUCGAACGCGUGUAGCAAUACACGAGUGGCGCACGGGUGAGUAACGCGUGGAUAUCUGCCUUUUGGUUCGGAAUAACCCCGGGAAACUGGGGCUAAUACCGGAUGGUUCCUACGGGAUAAAGAUUUAUCGCCAAAAGAUGAGUCCGCGUCCGAUUAGCUAGUUGGUGAGGUAACGGCUCACCAAGGCGACGAUCGGUAGCUGGUCUGAGAGGACGAUCAGCCACACUGGGACUGAGACACGGCCCAGACUCCUACGGGAGGCAGCAGUGGGGAAUAUUGGACAGUGGGGGCAACCCUGAUCCAGCCAUGCCGCGUGAGUGAUGAAGGCCUUCGGGUUGUAAAGCUCUUUUGGCGGGGACGAUGAUGACGGUACCCGCAGAAUAAGCCCCGGCUAACUUCGUGCCAGCAGCCGCGGUAAGACGAAGGGGGCUAGCGUUGUUCGGAAUUACUGGGCGUAAAGCGCGUGUAGGCGGUUGUCCAAGUUGGAUGUGAAAGCCUUGAGCUUAACUCAAGAAAUGCAUUCAGGACUGGAUGACUAGAGGACCGGAGAGGAUAGUGGAAUUCCCAGUGUAGUGGUGAAAUACGUAGAGAUUGGGAAGAACACCAGUGGCGAAGGCGGCUAUCUGGACGGUUUCUGACGCUAAGACGCGAAAGCGUGGGGAGCAAACAGGAUUAGAUACCCUAGUAGUCC
rnacentral:rRNA from 1 species